CCCUUAGAUGUUCUGGGCCGCACGCGCGCUACACUGACUACUUCAACGAGUUGUUUCCUUGAUCGAAAGGUCUGGGUAAUCUUUGAAAGGUAGUCGUGAUGGGGAUAGAUCCUUGCAAUUUUUGAUCUUCAACGAGGAAUUCCUAGUAAACGCAAGUCAUCAGCUUGCAUUGAUUACGUCCCUGCCCUUUGUACACACCGCCCGUCGCACCUACUGAUUGAAUGGUCCGGUGAAUCUUUAGGACUGUGGCUGAGGCCUUGCCUUGUGCGGGUCUGGCCGUGGGAAUUUAGUUAAACCUUACCAUUUAGAGGAAGGUGAAGUCGUAACA
rnacentral:rRNA from 1 species